AGCUAAAAAAUCAUCAUCCCAGAGAAGAGAGAGGCAGGAAUUUCUCUGCAAGCCAGAGAGAGAUGAACAUCAGACAUCUGGAAAGAAAAGCUGAGAAUUCUAAACAGUAAAGAGUAGAGAUGAGGUUUCACUAUGUUGGUUGGGCUGGUCUCAAACUCCUGACUUCAAAUGAUCCACCUGCCUUGGCCUCCCAAAAUGCUGGGUUUACAGGCGUGAGCCACCAUGCCCAGCCACCACUGGCAUUAUGGAGUCUCACUCUGUCACCCGGGCUGGAGUGCAGGGGCAGGAUCUCAGCUCACUGCAACCUCCACCUCCCGGGUCCAAACAGUUCUCCUGCCUCAGCCUUCUGAGUAGCUGGGACUACAGAUGCUCAGAGGCCCCAUGCCUGAUGAGUCAGUGGACAGGGGACAUUGAAUAUGACCUGCUUCUGCCACCCAUUCCACACCAAACAACUCUGUGUGACCUACAAAAUCUUAAAGGCAUCUUUUCAAGAUGUAAGCUGAAGGAAGAUAUGUCAGAUUUCAGGCUGUCCUCACUCUCAACAUCCCCUCCAGCCAACUGCUGUUCUGAUUUUCCCU
rnacentral:lncRNA from 10 species